UCCUACGGGAGGCAGCAGUGAGGAAUUUUGCGCAAUGGGGGAAACCCUGACGCAGCAACGCCGCGUGAGUGAUGAAGGCCUUCGGGUCGUAAAGCUCUGUCAAGUGGGAAGAACCUGCUGUCCGUUAAUAUAGGGCAGCACUGACGGUACCACUGAAGGAAGCACCGGCUAACUCCGUGCCAGCAGCCGCGGUAAUACGGGGGGUGCAAGCGUUAUUCGGAAUUAUUGGGCGUAAAGGGCGCGUAGGCGGUCUUGUAAGUCAGAUGUGAAAGCUCUCGGCUUAACCGGGAAAGUGCAUUUGAAACUAUGAGACUUGAGUAUGGGAGAGGGAAGUGGAAUUCCUGGUGUAGAGGUGAAAUUCGUAGAUAUCAGGAGGAACACCGGUGGCGAAGGCGACUUCCUGGACCAAUACUGACGCUGAGGCGCGAAGGCGUGGGGAGCAAACAGGAUUAGAUACCCUGGUAGUCCACGCAGUAAACGUUGAUCACUAGGUGUAGCGGGUAUUGACCCCUGCUGUGCCGCAGUUAACGCAUUAAGUGAUCCGCCUGGGGAGUACGAUCGCAAGGUUAAAACUCAAAUGAAUUGACGG
rnacentral:rRNA from 1 species